CUUCCGUAGGUGAACCUGCGGAAGGAUCA
rnacentral:rRNA from 1 species